rnacentral:rRNA from 1 species
AUACAUCGGAAUCUACCUUUUCGUGGGGGAUAACGUAGGGAAACUUACGCUAAUACCGCAUACGACCUUAGGGUGAAAGCGGAGGACCUUCGGGCUUCGCGCGGAUAGAUGAGCCGAUGUCGGAUUAGCUAGUUGGCGGGGUAAAGGCCCACCAAGGCGACGAUCCGUAGCUGGUCUGAGAGGAUGAUCAGCCACACUGGAACUGAGACACGGUCCAGACUCCUACGGGAGGCAGCAGUGGGGAAUAUUGGACAAUGGGCGCAAGCCUGAUCCAGCCAUGCCGCGUGGGUGAAGAAGGCCUUCGGGUUGUAAAGCCCUUUUGUUGGGAAAGAAAAGCAGCCGGUUAAUACCCGGUUGUUCUGACGGUACCCAAAGAAUAAGCACCGGCUAACUUCGUGCCAGCAGCCGCGGUAAUACGAAGGGUGCAAGCGUUACUCGGAAUUACUGGGCGUAAAGCGUGCGUAGGUGGUUGUUUAAGUCCGUUGUGAAAGCCCUGGGCUCAACCUGGGAAUUGCAGUGGAUACUGGGCAACUAGAGUGUGGUAGAGGAUGGCGGAAUUCCCGGUGUAGCAGUGAAAUGCGUAGAGAUCGGG